AGUAGUUUGACUCCGUGGCUCGAGGACGACGCUGGCGGCGUGCUUAACACAUGCAAGUCGAACGGUGACCCAGGGCUUGCCCUGGUGAUCAGUGGCGAACGGGUGAGUAACACGUGGGCAACCUGCCCCUGACUUCGGGAUAACUCCUCGAAAGAGGAGCUAAAUACCGGAUACGACCACUUCGGACAUCCGAUGGUGGUGGAAAGUUCUUCGGUCAGGGAUGGGCCCGCGGGCCUAUCAGCUAGUUGGUGGGGUAAUGGCUUACCAAGGCGACGACGGGUAGCCGGCCUGAGAGGGCGACCGGCCACACUGGGACUGAGACACGGCCCAGACUCCUACGGGAGGCAGCAGUGGGGAAUAUUGCGCAAUGGGCGAAAGCCUGACGCAGCGACGCCGCGUGAGGGAUGAAGGCCUUCGGGUUGUAAACCUCUUUCAGCAGGGACGAAGCGAAAGUGACGGUACCUGCAGAAGAAGCACCGGCUAACUACGUG
rnacentral:rRNA from 1 species